rnacentral:rRNA from 1 species
GGGUUGUGAGGUUAAGCGACUAAGCGUACACGGUGGAUGCCCUGGCAGUCAGAGGCGAUGAAGGGCGUGCUAAUCUGCGAUAAGCGCCGGUAAGGUGAUAUGAACCGUUAUAACCGGCGAUACCCGAAUGGGGAAACCCAGUGUGAUUCGUCACACUAUCAUUAACUGAAUCCAUAGGUUAAUGAGGCGAACCGGGGGAACUGAAACAUCUAAGUACCCCGAGGAAAAGAAAUCAACCGAGAUUCCCCCAGUAGCGGCGAGCGAACGGGGAGGAGCCCAGAGCCUGAAUCAGCAUGUGUGUUAGUGGAAGCGUCUGGAAAGGUGCGCGAUACAGGGUGACAGCCCCGUACACAAAAGCGCAUGUGCUGUGAGCUCGAUGAGUAGGGCGGGACACGUGGUAUCCUGUCUGAAUAUGGGGGGACCAUCCUCCAAGGCUAAAUACUCCUGACUGACCGAUAGUGAACCAGUACCGUGAGGGAAAGGCGAAAAGAACCCCGGCGAGGGGAGUGAAAAAGAACCUGAAACCGUGUACGUACAAGCAGUGGGAGCACAGGUUUACCUGUGUGACUGCGUACCUU